rnacentral:tRNA from 1 species
CGGAUGUAGCUCAGUUGGUUAGAGUACCGGAUUGUGGUUCCGAGGGUCGUGGGUUCGAGUCCCAUCUUCC